rnacentral:rRNA from 1 species
UACAGAGGGUGCGAGCGUUAAUCGGAAUUACUGGGCGUAAAGCGUGCGUAGGUGGUUCGUUGUGUCUGUGGUGAAAGCCCCGGGCUUAACCUGGGAAUGGCCAUGGAAACUGGCGAGCUGGAGUCUGGCAGAGGGGGGUGGAAUUCCGCGUGUAGCAGUGAAAUGCGUAGAGAUGCGGAGGAACACCGAUGGCGAAGGCAGCCCCCUGGGCUAAGACUGACGCUGAGGCACGAAAGCGUGGGGAGCAAACAGG